rnacentral:rRNA from 1 species
UACGUAGGGGGCUAGCGUUGUCCGGAAUCAUUGGGCGUAAAGCGCGUGUAGGCGGUUCGGUAAGUCUGCUGUGAAAGUCGGGGGCUCAACCCUCGAAUGCCGGUGGAUACUGUCGGACUAGAGUGCGGAAGAGGCGAGUGGAAUUCCUGGUGUAGCGGUGAAAUGCGCAGAUAUCAGGAGGAACACCAAUUGCGAAGGCAGCUCGCUGGGACGUUACUGACGCUGAGACGCGAAAGCGUGGGGAGCGAACAGG